UGAAAAAUAGAAAUGUUAAGUGAAAAUUUUGAUAACUAAGAGUGCAAAGAAAUAAAACAUUUCCCAUUACGCCCACGAGAACAACAGCAAAAAAACCUCACAAAGAUCACCACGUUAGCCACAGCUAGGUGUGUGAGAAGGUAUAUGCCACAGCCAUAUAUAUGCUUGAAGUAGUAGUAAAAAAUAAUAUAAAUAGCUCACAAGUUGACAGCAAAAAUGAUGAGCUUGAA
rnacentral:misc_RNA from 1 species